rnacentral:lncRNA from 1 species
UUUUUCCCCAGAGUAUUUUUAUUAGGGAUUCCUGCCACCAUAUUAACAUAUAAAACAAUCUGGAUGUUGACACAUAAAUGCAAAUUUCACUGUACAAAGAUAAGGCUCCAACCAUAGGUAACGUGGCCCCCAGAUCUCUAGUUUUUCAGUGAAAUCAAUCAUUUUGACUUCUUCCCAGAGUUGUCUUUAUAUUAGACAAACCACAAAAUAUGUUCCAGAUACAUAACAUUUUACAAUAUGUUCCAAGCACAGACAGAAAUACACAAUACUUCACCUACAUUUUUUUCAUAUCCAACUUGCAUUAGCACUAAAGAUUGUGUGUGUAUAUGUAUUUGCCAUAUGUGUGUGUAUAUAAAACCACAAAUGUACACACAGUAAUUUUCAUGGAAAAUUGAAACCUUUGAGACUGUGGGUUUUAUCCACUAUGUUAUCAGAGAGGGAAAAUGAAUAAUACCAUGUCACAAAUUCCUCAAUUGGGGAUAAA